GCAGCCUGAUGCAGCGACGCCGCGUGAGGGAUGACGGCCUUCGGGUUGUAAACCUCUUUCAGCAGGGACGAAGCGCAAGUGACGGUACCUGUAGAAGAAGCACCGGCCAACUACGUGCCAGCAGCCGCGGUAAUACGUAGGGUGCGAGCGUUGUCCGGAAUUACUGGGCGUAAAGAGCUCGUAGGUGGUUUGUCGCGUUGUUCGUGAAAACUCACAGCUCAACUGUGGGCGUGCGGGCGAUACGGGCAGACUUGAGUACUGCAGGGGAGACUGGAAUUCCUGGUGUAGCGGUGGAAUGCGCAGAUAUCAGGAGGAACACCGGUGGCGAAGGCGGGUCUCUGGGCAGUAACUGACGCUGAGGAGCGAAAGCGUGGGGAGCGAACAGGAUUAGAUACCCUGGUAGUCCACGCCGUAAACGGUGGGUACUAGGUGUGGGUUUCCUUCCUUGGGAUCCGUGCCGUAGCUAACGCAUUAAGUACCCCGCCUGGGGAGUACGGCCGCAAGGCUAAAACUCAAAGAAAUUGACGGGGGCCCGCACAAGCGGCGGAGCAUGUGGAUUAAUUCGAUGCAACGCGAAGAACCUUACCUGGGUUUGACAUGCACAGGACGCCGGCAGAGAUGUCGGUUCCCUUGUG
rnacentral:rRNA from 3 species